CACACAACACACAACACACACACAAAACACACACAAACACACACAGUCAGCUCUCCCUCUCAACAGGUUCCAUAUCUACAGACUUGAUCAACUGCAGAUGGAAAAUAUCGGCACAAAUAAUUGCGGCUAACUGAACAGAGGGUCAGCCAUUGCCCCUAGGACCACAGAGAAGCACCUGGAAGGACAGGCUGCCGUUGGCUCUCACGUCAAAGACACAGUGGGGAAACCAGAGGAGCGCUGGGGAAGUGCUCCUGGCCAGGUGUCCCCCUCUGCCUUCCCAGCCCACCUGGCAGCCAGGAACCCAUGCAUGAGGGACGGACGGAGCCACGAGGAGCCCUUCCGCGGAGGCGCCUGCAGUGGCUCUUUGGGGCUGUCAGAGCCGCCGGGAGCCCCCUGGGAACCCUGGAGGGUCAAGGACUCCCGAGGAGAGCGGCCUGCACAAAGGUGUCCCUGCCUCUGAGUGACGCAGGGCUCGAGCAGGAGAGGAGGCCCGGAAUGGCCCGGAAACGUCCUAACCACGGGAGCGGUGCUGCGCAGGCAGGUUCAAGUUUCAGGUAGCCACAAUUAACCGUAGUCCAAGACCAUGAAGAGCGAGAUCCCAGAAUCAGACAAUGCAUCGUCUGGACUGUGCACCAGGCUGAGCCAUGCGAUGGAGUCUCGCGGGGUCUCCGAGCCUCUCAAGGGGCUGUGUUCUGUGAGGUGAAGGAUGGACACUGGAGGCGUCAGCUCCUGCUGUACAGACGAACGGCUUCGCCCUCUGAGGCAUAACCUGCGCAUCCACAGUGGCUUCUGCAGACCUCGCCUCCAGGCCAAGGACGCAUCUCAGAAGUCAGAACAAGAGCGUCUGAGGAAUGAAGGAGGCAGACCCCGUCUGCGCCAGUCGCUCGCGUCAAGCCCACCCUCAGAAACAGACCCGAAGCCAACCAGACCCCCAAAGAGACCUCUGCAACCCAAGAGAACCCGAGCCACCAAGGCCGCCCUCGGGAACCUCUGUGCCCCAGACGGCCCAUCAAACCGCCCGUCUCUGCGCCCACAGUUCUGCCGUCUACCACUGAGGAGAGGGGCCUGUGAGAGAUGUGUGCCCCCAGGAACAGACUCACCGUUGCACGGGGAAUCUGGGGAUCCUACCUUAAGGCACUGCUAGGUUUUAUUUUGAUGAGUCAGACGUUCUUUGAAAAUGAACUUCAUUUCAAUUCUUGUCUCUGGAUUUUCCUUUCAGAGUAAGAAUCCAUCACGUUUCAUUUCAUGCCCAAGUAGAGGAAGAUCUAUUUCCGGUGACUUCUCUCUAAUCUUGUCCCAAGGAGGAAAGCUUAGAAAGGUCCGGAAGGCCCUGGGCAGCUGUCAGCUCGUCCCUGUCUAUGUCCUCGGGCUCAUCCGCCCCUCACCCGCCAGCUCCUCUGUGUGGAGGUUGGGAUCCCCCCUCAUCCUCCGCCUGGCCCCUCUCCACUCCUGUCUCCAUUUCCUCCUGCUUCCUGGUGAGUAAUAGCCUUCAUUAGAGUCUCUCUCCCGACGACUCCAGUCUUUCCUGCCAACGGCUGCCAGAAUCACCUUCCCCAAGCAUUAUUCUCCUUCUGUCCUCACCACUCUCCAGUCGGGGCUGUUAGGAGGCAGUGAGAACAGGCGCCAUGAGUCAGUUUUCGAGGCCUUGUGAUGAUCCCAGCCUGCCCUUGGGUCCCCAGGGACUGCCUCCCUCCCCACAGAGACCAGCCUGAGAAGUCAGUGGGCCUCCAGGGUCAGCAUCUGCAGCCUCCCCUCUCCUCCUGGGACCCGUUGGCCCCUUGGGCUUCUGGGUCCUUUGGUCCUCUGGCCACCCCUCCUCCACAGCGUGGGCCGGGGUGUGGCAGCACAAGCCUGUCCCCCGGGGUUUAUUCCAGUGCAGUCCAUGGGCCAC